rnacentral:rRNA from 1 species
UACGAAGGGUGCAAGCGUUACUCGGAAUUACUGGGCGUAAAGCGUGCGUAGGUGGUUGUUUAAGUCUGUUGUGAAAUCCCCGGGCUCAACCUGGGAAUGGCGAUGGAUACUGGGCAGCUAGAGUGUGUCAGAGGAUGGUGGAAUUCCCGGUGUAGCGGUGAAAUGCGUAGAGAUCGGGAGGAACAUCAGUGGCGAAGGCGGCCAUCUGGGACAACACUGACGCUGAAGCACGAAAGCGUGGGGAGCAAACAGG